GAGAGCCCGUUGCGUUGAGAGGCGCACGGCGGGUUCGGCGAGAGGUCCGGGGAAACGGGCCGGGAGCAACCCCGGCACCGCCCUCGGGGGACUGUACAAAUAACGGCUGAUCGACCGAU
rnacentral:misc_RNA from 1 species